ACACCAAUGCCUUAAGUUUAUAUUCAUAUAGUAUAAAAUAAAGUAUUAUUAAUUAUAAGGUUGUUAGGACUAAUGAGGAUGGCAAAAGUAGGUAAAAUUUAAUUGCUGUUAUUAAUUAAACAGUCCUAUGUAGAAAUUCUUUGAAAAUAAGGCUUAGGUAAACUAGGAUUAGAGACCCUACUAUUCUUUAUUUUAAAAAUUUUAUUACUUAAGUAGUAUAAAUAUGAAUAUAUUAUAUAAUUCUUUAGUUGUUUGAAACUUAAAAGGCUUGGCGGUGUUAUAUAUCCUACCAGGGGAGCUUGCUUAUUAAUUUGAUAAUCCUCAAUUUAUACUUACUUCUUUUUGAAUUAUAACAGUUUGUGUAUUGCUGUCGUCAGUUUAUUUUGUAAAAAUUUCGGAAAAAACUAAAUAAUUUCAUGGUUGUG
rnacentral:rRNA from 1 species